AUGCAUGUGUUGUCGCCACUACUUUUCCGCGAUCUCGGCAGCUACAUGCGAGGCCGCCGUCACUGCACCACCAUCCCUCUGCGUCAAGCCGUCGUUCAUAAUUUGUAUCUCAUCACUGAAGUCAUCAACCGGAUCAGAAGAGAUGACCCUCCAGAAGUUCUUUCGAUGACCACGCCAUCUUGGAACUGUAGGAAGUCGCUGCAGUAUAUGCAGUCAUCACCAUCCGGCCGAUUAGAUCUGGAUCACCACCACCAAGCCGUGGAUCGCAGCGCCGACGGCCAGCCACCACACGCGGGCAUCGUUGGCUAG
rnacentral:rRNA from 1 species